rnacentral:pre_miRNA from 1 species
AGAGGAAUAGCUGGGUUAAAUAGUGGUUCCAUACCCAAUUUCCCAAGGAAUCUCCAUACUGCUUCCCAAAUUAGCUGCAUCAAUUUGCAGUCCCACCAGCAAU